rnacentral:rRNA from 1 species
UACGGAGGGUGCAAGCGUUAUCCGGAUUCAUUGGGUUUAAAGGGUGCGUAGGCGGUCUAAUAAGUCAGUGGUGAAAGCCUCUCGCUCAACGGGAGAACUGCCAUUGAUACUGUUAGACUUGAAUCAAGUUGAAGUGGGUGGAAUACGUCAUGUAGCGGUGAAAUGCAUAGAUAUGACGUAGAACGCCGAUUGCGAAGGCAACUCACUAAGUUUGUAUUGACGCUGAGGCACGAAAGCGUGGGGAGCGAACAGG